AGCGAACGCUGGCGGCAGGCUUAACACAUGCAAGUCGAGCGGGCCCUUCGGGGUCAGCGGCGGACGGGUGAGUAACGCGUGGGAACGUGCCUUCUGGUUCGGAAUAACCCAGGGAAACUUGAGCUAAUACCGGAUACGCCCGUUUGGGGCAAGGUUUACUGCCGGAAGAUCGGCCCGCGUCUGAUUAGCUGGUUGGUGGGGUAACGGCCUACCAAGGCGACGAUCAGUAGCUGGUCUGUGAGGAUGAUCAGCCACACUGGGACUGAGACACGGCACAGACUCCUCCGGGAGGCAGCAGUGGGGAAUAUUGGACAAUGGGCGCAAGCAUGAUCCAGCCAUGCCGCGUGAGUGAUGAAGGCCUUAGGGUUGUAAAGCUCUUUUAUCCGGGACGAUAAUGACGGUACCGGAGGAAUAAGCCCCGGCUAACUUCGUG
rnacentral:rRNA from 1 species